rnacentral:rRNA from 1 species
GAUGAACGCUGGCGGCGUGCCUAAUACAUGCAAGUCGAGCGAACGGACGAGACGCUUGCUUUUCUGAUGUUAGCGGCGGACGGGUGAGUAACACGUGGAUAACCUACCUAUAAGACUGGGAUAACUUCGGGAAACCGGAGCUAAUACCGGAUAAUAUUUUGAACCGCAUGGUUCAAAAGUGAAAGACGGUCUUGCUGUCACUUAUAGAUGGAUCCGCGCUGCAUUAGCUAGUUGGUAAGGUAACGGCUUACCAAGGCAACGAUGCAUAGCCGACCUGCGAGGGUGAUCGGCCACACUGGAACUGGGACACGGUCCAGGCUCCUAAGGGAGGCAGCAGUAGGGAAUCUGACGCAAUGGGCGGAAGCCUGACGGAGCAACGCCGCGUGAGUGAUGAAGGUCUUCGGAUCGUAAAACUCUGUUAUUAGGGAAGAACAUAUGUGUAAGUAACUGUGCACAUCGUGACGGUACCUAAUCAGAAAGCCACGGCUAACUACGUG